rnacentral:lncRNA from 1 species
UUUUUUUUUAUAUUUCUCUUUCUUCUCUCCUCCUGCCUCUUUCUUCGUCUUCUCUCUCUUUCUUCUUCUUUUCUCUCUUCUGCAACUCAUGGCCACCAUAUAAUUAUGGUAAUUGAUACUACUUCUUCUUCCCCAUAAGUAUAUGGCUAAUUGAAAUAACUUCUCUUUGUCAUCUUCUUCUUCUCUCUCUUUUUCUUCUUCUUUCUUCUUCUUCUCUUUCUUUAGCCUCUUCCUUUCCCUCUUCUGCAACUCAUGGCCGCCUUAAUUAUAUGAUUAAUGGACCCCAUUUCUCAUAGAUUCAAUGGCUUCUGAGUUGGAUUACUGACAGUUGGUGACUUGGUGUGCUAAAGUCGUUCAGAUCUAGCAUGUCGUCGGCAUCUUGGCAGGUGAGUUGCUGAACCAAAGUCCUAAAUUCGGAGGCGCUCGUUGUAACCUUCAACGGGUUUGAUAUGUGAAGUAUUGUGAACCACCUUCAUUGGCCACUUCUUUGAUUUGCCGCCGAAGCUUCUCAUCUUUGCUUUCUCUCUCUGGCUACCGAAAAGCCCGAAAAGCCUGAAGGACCGGCCCGUUUAUUAACGGUCCGGGCCUUGUCGGUCCUUGAAAAUGAAAAACAUAUUUUGAGCCCGACCCGAGAAUUUCGGUCCCGGUCCCGGUCCCUGUAAAAUCCAUGCCGGGCUGGGACCGUGCCC